GCAAGUGUGACCAUGUCAGGGAUCUAAAACACAGACCAACAAAAGCUCCCUCAGAAUGGAGCUGUUGGUGAGCCUGGCAGACUCAGCUGCUUCUCUUCAGCUGUGCCUAUCUAUGUGCUGCUCUCUCGGGUAGAUGCUACCACAGUGCCCUUCCCAGAGUCAUAGAGCAAGAAUGACCAGCCACAUCACCACCUGUGGAUUCUCCUGCACCCUCACCUGGCUACAUUCUUGCAGCCUUCAGCACGCAUUCCUGAAGUGGACUGAGAGGAGUGGGCCCAUGUGCCCAUGGAGAAUGACACACAAAUGCUCAGGCCAUGCUCUCCUGUGGCUUCUUCAUCUGCCGAGUAGUUUGUGACUGGCUGUUAAACUCUCCUUAAGAGGCUGCUGGAUGCUGCUAUGGAAAUUCUCUCUGCUACAAGCUGAGUGAGCAGAGUGCUUCCCUCAGCUGCUCCCUCCCACGGGGACCACUGUCCAAGGGUGCGUGCUGUCUAGUGCUUGAAACAUGGGUGCCUGCGCUUUGCCUGGUUCUGGUUUUCUUAAGGCAGGAGGAUAAACUGGCAACUGUUCUUUCAUGUUCGCUGGACACAGAUAUGAUCCAUCACCCAGUUUUUAAAGCCCUGUAAGGAAAGGCCGUGGAAGACUUUGAGGACGGAGCUUGGCACCUGUUUAGCUCACCUCUUGCUAUCUCACCUUUGCUAUCUGUGAACUGUCUGAGCACAAGCUGCAAGCUCAUUCAUGCUUCCCUCCAAUGAGGGUGAGGAACCAGGGCCUGGCCAAACAGUCAGUGGAGAGUGAGGACAAGUACGUGACACCAGCAAGACCCCUCAGAUCAGCACUGAGAGCCUGCCUGAGAAGGCAAGGACCCAGAUGAAAUUAAUCAGAUAGACACAGCGCAAGCCAGACCUAGCUCGAGUCACACAGCUCCUGUACUGGCUUUCUCUGGUGGGAACCAAAGAGCCAAGUGUCAAUCACUGGGAGAUGAUAACAACUGCUUCCUAGGACUGACCUAGUGACAGCCAUUCCUGCGCUCCACGUGGAC